rnacentral:lncRNA from 1 species
ACGAACCCCGUAACUGUGUCACCUUUCCACUUCCUUGUCUCUUUUCGCCAUCUCCAGGUCCAAUGGAUCCAUGUGUCAUAAUUCCAUGUUCUCCAUGAAACCCUAGCUCGCUGUCGAUCCUGAUCCCUUACGUGAGCUGAAGGGUUCUGAGCAAGGGAGACAGACGUACAUAUUCAUGUCGUGAAUCCCCCCCUCCUUGCACAACGGCUGCGUAAUUAACAGUGCUAGUCCCUUCAACUCCAAAUUCCAUCUUGUCUUCAUGCAAUUUAUACAUGAAAAUUCAUACUAAAUGUAGCAAAAAAACAAAAUUGAUAUGAAACGAUGAAAACACAGAAAUGAAAUCAAAAUAUAGAGCAUUAAGGUGAAUUAUGCAUAAAUAAAUAUAAUAUAAUAUGAAUUAUGCAUUAAUAUGUAAAUUUACCUGAACUGAACGGAUUGGUUCCAGCAUGGGUAGGUGUCUGCGGGCAACAGCACGUUGGUCUUCGCCACCUUGACCAAUGCAGUCGGCCGCCUCACGCGAAGCUUCCCGGAUCCCACACGUGGUUGCUGCGACCCCUCCAUUCCCCUAUAUAUACAACACGAUGGGGGUUCAAAAAAUCUCGACCACCAGCUUCUCAACAAAUCACACACCCAACACCGGGAAAGAGAGAUCGAGCUUACAGGAGACACGAGGAUGGGAAGGAAGAGAGAUGCUGAGGCCGAGCUCAACCUGCCACCGGGGUUCCGGUUCCACCCCACAGACGAGGAGCUCGUCGUGCACUACCUGUGCAGGAAGAUAGCCUGCCAGCGCCCGGCCGUACCUAUCAUCGCCGAGAUCGAUCUCUACAAAUAUGACCCUUGGGAAUUACCAGGUAUUGUAACCAUCCAAUGAUAUAAAAAUCAGUUCAUUUGUUUUUUUUUUUUUUGCCGAGGAAGAUAUCAAAUGGUUUCCAUACCUGUUGGCUAAAUUGAUUUGGCUUUGUAUGUUUGUGAUGUGAGCAGACAAAUCAUUGUUUGGACAAAGGGAGUGGUAUUUCUUCACCCCCCGUGACCGCAAGUACCCAAACGGCUCAAGGCCGAACCGGAGUGCCGGGAAGGGAUACUGGAAGGCAACUGGUGCCGAUAAGCCGAUCUCGCCCAAGGGGAGCAACAGGACCGUUGGGAUCAAGAAAGCUUUGGUCUUUUACUCCGGGAAGGCACCGCGAGGACUGAAGACGGACUGGAUCAUGCAUGAAUACAGAUUGGCUGAUACAAACCGCAAAUCCAACAAGGGAAGCCUCAGGGUAAUAAUACAAAUGAAUAACAUCAUAUAAAAAUUGCUCAGAGAAGUGCAGGUGAUAAUUAAUACCUUUCAUGCAGUUGGACGACUGGGUUCUUUGCCGGCUAUACAACAAGAAGAACACCUGGGAGAAGAUGCAGCAGCAGCAAAAGGAGGAGACAUCCUUUGGAUUGACCAUGGAUUCAUUGGACGAUACAGGGUCGGACAGCUUCAGGACGCCAGAAUCCGAUGUCGAAAACGAUGACGUGCUGCCAGACUUCGAUGAUUUAGGUUAUCCAUCCCAAGCUUCUACUGGAGGACAAGCAUUAAGCACCAGCAGAGCAGUAGGCCUCCAGAUGGUCGAAAAGAUUGAGAAAGAAGAUGAGUGGUUCAUGGACUUGAAACUGGAUGACUUGCAGAGCUCCUUCAUGGGCUUCGGAUCAACACCUUCCAUGGAUGCAACAAACCAAGAUUAUUACUUCCAAUCCUUUGCACCUCCAAUGCAUAGACCAAGCGGCACCAACAUGUUACCAUUCUGAAUUAAGUUGAAAGUCAAAAAUGUAAAUAGAGUACAAGAAUAGGGUAGCAUAGGAGGAUGGCAGAUCAAAGAUCUAGUUAAUAUCAAUGGAUUUAUUUGCUUCAUUCCAUGCAUUACAUACAAACGUUGGUUCAUGAACGUAGCAUCAAAGCUGAUGCACAUGUGCUAUCAACUAAGUAUUGAACUCGAUCAUAAUUUGUCCUAAAACUCUAAUAAUCGUUUUCUGAUAGGACCGACAAAUGACAUCAAGAUUUAACUGUUCUUCAAUUUAGAAUGAGAAACAUAUGCAACAUUUUAUGGUGCUACUACCAUUCUGAUUCAGCAAACUGAGAUUUUGAGCAUCAAAAUCUAAAAACAAAAAAAAAACUAUGUAUAUGCAUGGGCACAAAAAUCUUUCAUAAACCUCAUAGAAGAUACGUGUCAAACAUGAAUAAAUUAAACGAGAGAGCCACUUCUACACCAAGGAAUUUUUUUUCCAUGGAGCAACAAAUACCUGAUGGAGAAAAUGUGUGAACCAUGCUAUGCAAAUCCAAAAAUCCAUGAUAGUCUCGAGGAGACUAAAGACUAAAAGAACUGUUUCUGGAGACAAAAUCAAUUCAUCCCAAUGAACACAAAAGCAUGGGUUAGUAGCAGCAUUCAAAUAAAGGAUACACUGGUUGAGCGACCCAUUAUUUCAUCAGAAUAACUUCUAUGCUGCAUGGGCCAUGCAUGCAGAAGGUAUAGCCAACUGCAAGUUGUCAGAUGUGUUACCAAAAAAUUAGGCUGGAUAUGUAAAUAAUAUUCGAAGGGUGUUAAACAAAUCAAUUAGUUUACGUGGUGCAGUCAUGGCUUAUUCUAAAACUCUCUAUGCCAUUUCUUAACUCACGGCCACUAUCAACAGAGGAUGUCACAUGAUCACCAGCAAGACCAUUAGCUAACACCAUACUAUAGUAUACUCCUAGUGAGCAAGCAGAGAAAGUUGUUCAGGAAAAAGCAAGGAAUCAAGUUGGGCGAAUAAGUGGAAAUGAAGACGAGGAUCAAACAAUUCUCAGAAUUCCCUUUACAUGCAGAUGCAGGUCAUAAUUAUCUAAAGACUCCAGCUACUAAAACCCUCACCAAGUAUAAAAAAUAUAAUGCUUACAUUUUAGUAAGUAUCCAGCCUUUCACAUCUGAAAGAAACCUUAAUUAUUCAAUGAUCCAUCCAAUGGAUAUGGAACUUUUGGUAAUAGUUCAACCCUUUGUUGGUUAGAGUAGUAACUUCAUCAUGAAAGGUAUAAGUAUAGACUAUCAGACAUAGACUAACAUAAGAUGUAAGAAAGAGAGAGAGAGAGAGAGAACAUCCUUUUUGCAAAAUUAAUUCAACAUUCCUUAUUCCAUGUUGGGGUCCCAUCAUUAAGUGCCAUCUAGCAACAACCAGGGGCUAAAUGUCUUCUCUAACCAACGGAUAAAAUACCACAUGAACUUAACAUUGCUGCCAUGAAGGCAUGAAGUGAUGAUUCAAUGACUGAGCGAUGUAGGGGCCUAGGAGAUCAUCAAUUUCUAGUUUUCCAGUUCAGGUAGUAACUCAGUCUAUGCUAUAUAAAUCCCCAUGCAUGAAUGUUCCUAGUGCACCAUAUAUUGAAGAUGGCAAGCAAAUUUGGAAAAAGAACGCAUUUGCAGAGACAGGUAACACAAAACAGAUAAACAUAUGUGAGCACUAAAGACUAGGACAAGAUUAGCAUCCUAAGAGUGAUCUUAUAAAAUUUUGCUAUAGAGAAAUGGCAAGGGAUUUUUCUUUCACAAAAUGCAUAGAUAAAAUUGAAACACACCAAUCUAUGGGGGUUCCGGACCGAUGGUUGUAUCCCAGGUGUGUUUGUUGUGGGAGGGAUAGUUGGUUAUCAUUAGCAUAGGUAACUCUUCAGAAACGACAGAGGUAUAUUCCCUGCUCUCUAGAAGACAUUUGCGAAAAAUACCUCAUUGAUUCUUCAUCAAGGAUUCCAGAAAAACUUGCUCGUUUUCCAGUUCUACCCCCAUCAGACAGACAGCCCAGUGACCUCUUUACCAGAAGCCAGAGCUUCGACCAUCUCCUUGUUUGCAUGUGGUCAUAAUUUUUAGAAUCAUAUUCCUGUUUACUAUGCAAAAAAUGAGCUGUGCAUCACAGCAAAUGCGGGUGUCACUAUCACGAAUUGACCAAUUCUCUGCCAUCUUCUUCCACUUUUGUACACAGAGACUGGUAUGUGAUAGGACAUAUUCUAGUACCACGCCUCGUGGCAACAGUCAGUAGCCACGUCAACACCAACGCAAAGCCUCAAGAUUGAUAUAGUGCAUUGCGUCGAAGUGACACCUCGGACUUGGAUGGAACGAUCGCUUGUUCCCGCACUGUCCGAGGCCAUACGAGACGACAUCGCAUAGCACAAAGCUGCUCCGGAAAGCUCGAAACGACACCGUGCAACACAAAUCCGUGUAGGUCAGUCGGCACUCGCAUAGGAGGUACAAACCGAUCGCCCGAUAAGUCGACCGCCAUUAAUAGAUCACGUACAAUCGACCCUCAUUCGUAGGUAUAAAAGUCAACCCCCUGAUCGAUGUCAAGGGAAGGACUUCGAGCAUUUAACUCCCUCUUACUUCACUCAAUACUAACUUAACCUUUAGAGGGGUCAAGUCGGGAAAUUCCUUUCCCAACCUCGGCCUGUGUGCAGGAGCUCGGCGACGAAGAAGCAGGCCACUCGCCAAGGGAGAAGACCGCACUCGGGAGACGAGGCUCAAACUCAACACGACCCGACGCUCGCUUCCACCACUCGAGCAUCCGUGUGGGCAACCUUGUGCCUCCGGGAUUGGACCAAGCCGUGCUGACACCUCAGCCACGACGUAAAGGUUCACUAGCAUUUUGACGCUAGAGGAAGGGCCCGAUGUCGUAAGAGCGUCCCCAAUCGAGCAACCCGGGAGAGCGCACUGGAGAAGAGCCACCCCCGACUCACCCGACCUUUGGGUUUGGAGGGCAACUCCCACUUCCUCCAAGCCUAGAAGGGAAUACCUCGGACGCGACCCCUAGCCGCUAUUGGCGACUAAUCAAUGAUCCCGAGUUGUCGCCUCCCAGGACCAUCAUGGGGCAGUCAACUAUCUCAGCCGAGACAUUCCUCAACCUCACCCACUAGGUACAAGCGUUAGCUGGGAUGAUGCAAACCAUCGCACCCUUCAUACUCCAGCUAGCUCAGCACACGGUUCUCCCCCCACAGCAGCGUGAGUAACCUUGCGCAUCCAGGAUUGGACCGAGUCAUGUUGACACCUCGGCCAUGGCAUAAAGGUUCACUAACAGCAUGCAUCCUCCAUCCACCCACAUAUUGGUUCUCCAGCCGUGUCCUGUUUGCUUCAUUGUGCUCAUCAAUUAAAACGCCCUAGUUCCUCUCCUUAUCAAAGAAGUCAGUGAAGGUCACAUGUCAUACAGAAGAGAGACGUCUCUGCAACAUAUCAACAAACAGGUUGUCCGCUUACUGAGCUUGAUGUGCUUACGCUAAAGAGAGCGCACCGAAACCAAAAAAAUAUUCACCGCGAAGCCAAACUAUUCUAGAACAUAGAAGACGUCUAUAGAUCACCGACACCCACAUCGCACCCGAAAGACCAUUGCCAUCAUCGCUGUCCUAGAGAUCAAAGAUUGUUGUACCUGGGCAGGAAGGAGGUGACCGCACAGCGAUCCAGCCGAGUCACUGCCAUCUGGUGCUGAUCAUCUUAUGUUGUUGAGAUGGGAAAAACUGGAACUGAUCUGAGAGGAGUGAAGGGCGUGGAGAAUCAUGGUGGCGUACGGUCUUGUUGGAGGAGGAGAGGGU